rnacentral:lncRNA from 1 species
AUGGAAAUUCUCAAUGACUGUUCUGAUGUGGAUGAGAUCAAAUUCCAAGAAGAUGGUUCUUGGUGUCCGAUGAGACCGAAGAAAGAAGCUAUGAAAGUAUCCAGCCAACCAUGUACAAAAAUAGAAAGUUCAGGUGUCCUCAGUAAGCCUUGUUCAGUUACUGUAGCCGGUGAGGUAAGCAAGAAGAAAGUGGAUGUUAUCGACCUAACAAUAGAAAGCUCUUCUGAUGAAGAGGAAGACCCCCCUGCCAAAAGGAAAUGCAUCUUUAUGUCAGAAACACAAAGCAGCCCAACCAAAGGGGUUCUCAUGUAUCAGCCAUCUAUAAGGGUGCCUAGUGUGACUUCGGUUGAUCCUGCUGCUAUUCCGCCUUCAUUAACAGACUACUCAGUACCAUUCCACCACACCCCAAUAUCAAGCAUGUCAUCAGAUUUGCCAGGUUUGGAUUUUCUUUCCCUUAUUCCAGUUGAUCCCCAGUACUGUCCUCCUAUGUUUUUGGAUAGUCUCACCUCACCCUUAACAGCAAGCAGUACGUCUGUCACCACCACCAGCCCCCAUGAAAGCAGUACUCAUGUUAGUUCAUCCAGCAGCAGGAGUGAGACAGGGGUCAUAACCAGCAGUGGAAGUAGCAUUCCUGACAUCAUCUCAUUGGACUAAAGAAGGACGCACUUGAUUCUGGGAAUCAUUUCAUCAGAACUACUUUUUCUUGGAUCUCUGAUCCAUGGAAGUUAUUAUUUUGGCAAUUUGAUAUUUAUUGAAACAUCAUAUGGAUUCUUUUGCUUUCUGAGAGAUGAACAUAGAUGACAGCAGCAAGAACCAAAUGACAGGCAAGGACUUCUUACACAUACUGUACACUGAUCAGCAGAUACUUUCAGCCAUAAACAGUGUCUUGAGCAGUGGAUUUCAAUUUCAUAUGUUACUGGAUGGAUUUUACAAAUCAUUUAAAAAUUUUUGUUAUAUAAUAAACAGCAAUAAAAAUUAUGUAAAUAUUUGAACUUUCUAAUUCAAAAAAGAUGUAAUCAUUGAUGCUAGAAUGAUGCAACUUCUAUUUAACUCAAUGUGAAGGAAAAAAUAUAUGGAAAGAAGUCGUGUUUGCUGAAUGAAUCCUUUCCACAGAGAUUUGUUCUAUUUUAUUGAAGUAUUGAAAUUUUGAUAAAUGGCCAGAGUUGGGUUCCACUUGCAGUUCCACUUUUCUUCAUGAUCCCAUCAAAGAAAAAUGGCCUCUGUGUUGUGCAUUUCCUCUCGGUUGUCAUUUAUACCUUGACACUGUUUGCUAAUGAAUGCAGAGUGAAGCUCUGGGCUUUGGCUGCUCUUUAUUAGUGAUGAUGUUUAAGAACUCUAUGCAGAUUCUGCCCUGACAUAUUUUUUGGUAACUGUACAUUCUCAUUCUAGAGUUUUCUAUAAAUGUGAGGCUUGCCUUCUUAGGAAAGAAAUUGUCUCCAGCCUUUCAGGUAAGGUACAGUUGGAAAGUUUGUUAGAUUUUUCUUCAUGAUGUCCAGAAAUAUUGAUACUUUGAGAGCAGCAGUAGAGAAGAUUUAUGGGAGAUGGUAAUAACAAAUUUACUUCCCGAGAACUUAAUUUGCUCAUUUACUUUAUAGGAUAAUAUACAAAUCUUUGUUGAAACUUUUCACAUUUUAGAGACGCUGACAUAGAAAUUAUAUUUUACAUUUCGCAUCAUAUUGCUCACCAGUGUAUUUUCUGUCUCAGCAUUGAUUUUCAAAUUUAAGGAAAAAAUAGCAAGGCAUGGGGAAUAGCAUCAGAUUUUUUUUUACCUUUUAAAAAGAGAAUAUUUUCUGAAACCACAAAAUGAGAAAUGGUUGAAGUAAGGAAGGGUUGGGGAGGGACCUGAAGCCCACCUACUUUGUGUCUCACUCCACCCUUUGCUGAAACACUCCUUUCUCAUGCCUUUACUGGGGCAACUUGAAAACCACUUUCCUGGUGGGUAAUUUUAAAUUGCUCAAAAAUGAGUUUUACUUGAAGGGAGACAUUUUCAUCCAGGUUUUGUAGUUUGCUUCAUUUGGCUUCUUAAAUCAUUUUGAGUUCUCAAGGAUUUAGGACUUUGCUGAUGUUUAGCUUUCUCUCCCUAAGCUGUAUCUACUUUAAAACAAAAUCAUUCGGGCCGGGGAUUUAGCUCAGUGGUUCCGCUCCUGCCUUGCAAGCGCAAGGACCCGAGUUCGAUCCCUGGUACCAAAAAAGAAAACAAAAAUCAUUCUUUUCAUGGCUAAUCAAACUGAUUUCUCUGGCAGAUGUGCCCAUGUGAGGCCUCUACACUUCCGGUUUUAACAGAAACACAUUACUUCAAAAUAGGUACAACUUCAGGGAGCUGACUUCUUGUCCUUGCUUGAUUUUUUGCAUCUCCUCAAGUUUUCAUGUCAUUUGUACACUCUUUGUGCUGAUUUAAUUUAUAGUUUUUCACACUUCUUUGGCUUCAUCAUCCCCCAAUUUACUAUAGUGCCCCUUUGGUAGCACCACCUAUUAAAGAUGUGGAAACACAAAACCAACCUUGACUCUUCCAGCAGUAGUUGAACCAGAGUCACCAAUUUUAACUUCUUUGUCAUUAGAUUUGAGUCCAGGUUAGAGUCAAACAGACAUAAAAUUUCUUCUACUAGAAUUUUAUGUUGCUGCUCUAAGUAUACAUGUAGUUUGUUAACUCUGUUAUCAGAAAAAGUAACCUUAUUUGUGUGGUAUCAUUUGUUAAUAAAGUAUAUUUCUUAACAUUUUGUUAUACUUUUGAUUCUCAUACUUUUGAUUCUCCCCCAAUUUCAUAAACCAAGUUUUAUAAAAUAAAUGAGAUUAAUAGAAAUUAUUUACUUAUUUCUUACAACUGAUAGCCUCUUUGCUUUUGUAGUUGUGAUACGUUGUUACUAUUUUAUGUGAAUAGUUUUAAUAUUUUUGGUGCUGUACGCUUAAGUUACAUAUGAAAGUUUAGUUUCUCUUAGCCGACUAACACUUAAACUUUUCAGUUUUUAUCUUAAAGUUGGGGCUUAUCUUUGGUAUGUGUCUUUGAAGAU